rnacentral:rRNA from 1 species
GUUCCUGACCUGCAGGGCGAGCAGUUCGGAUACGAUCUUCCGUGCAUACUCAUGUAUCCCUUUCAUGAACUUCCCGGCACUGAGUCUUCCUUCCUCGAUUUCACGUAGCGCCUUUUCCCAGGCGGCCGUCAUAGCCGCAUCGGCGAUCAGUUUGUCUCCUACGAUGCCGUAUAUCUCAAGCCCCUUCUCCGUCGGGAUGAGACGGUUUCCGAUACGCUCUACGUACCGGCGGGCCACCAGCAGGUCGAUGAUUCCUGCACGGGUGCCCGGCGUCCCGAGCCCACACUGCUCCAUUCUUUUCUUUUUGUUUUCACUGUCCGCCGUGCUGCCGGCGUUUUCCAUGGCAGCCAGUAGUUCGGCUUCCGUGAAUGGAGGCUGCGGCUUUGUACAGUCUUCCAGUAUUUCUGUUUCCAAUACCGCCAGUAUCUCUCCCUGAUGGAACUGCGGCAGGGAUUUGCCUUCUUCUGCCAUGUCCGGUCCGUUAUAAAUGUCCCGCCAUCCCGGAUACUUCACACAUGAGGUUUCGGCCUCGAAUUCCAUUCCUCCGUAAUCGAUUCCCGGUGUAGCGGUGGAAUGCGUAGAUAUCGGGAGGAACACCAGUGGCGAAGGCGACCUACUGGGCACCAACUGACGCUGAGGCUCGAAAGCAUGGGUAGCAAACAGGAUUAGAUACCCUGGUAGUCCAUGCCGUAAACGAUGAUUACUAGGUGUUGGAGGAUUGACCCCUUCAGUGCCGCAGUUAACACAAUAAGUAAUCCACCUGGGGAGUACGACCGCAAGGUUGAAACUCAAAGGAAUUGACGGGGGCCCGCACAAGCAGUGGAGUAUGUGGUUUAAUUCGAAGCAACGCGAAGAACCUUACCAGGUCUUGACAUCCAACUAACGAAGUAGAGAUACAUUAGGUGCCCUUCGGGGAAAGUUGAGACAGGUGGUGCAUGGUUGUCGUCAGCUCGUGUCGUGAGAUGUUGGGUUAAGUCCCGCAACGAGCGCAACCCUUAUUGCCAGUUACUACGCAAGAGGACUCUGGCGAGACUGCCGUUGACAAAACGGAGGAAGGUGGGGAUGACGUCAAAUCAUCAUGCCCUUUAUGACCUGGGCUACACACGUACUACAAUGGCGUUUAACAAAGAGAAGCAAGACCGCGAGGUGGAGCAAAACUCAAAAACAACGUCUCAGUUCAGAUUGCAGGCUGCAACUCGCCUGCAUGAAGUCGGAAUUGCUAGUAAUCGCGGAUCAGCAUGCCGCGGUGAAUACGUUCCCGGGCCUUGUACACACCGCCCGUCACACCAUGGGAGUUGGGAGUGCCCAAAGCCGGUGAGGCAACCGCAAGGAGCCAGCCGUCUAAGGCAAGACCAAUGACUGGGGUGAAGUCGUAACAAGGUAGCCGUA